rnacentral:lncRNA from 1 species
CCUUUGUUCUCAGGUGGAUUUUCUUGAUCAUCCUUUCUCACCCAUCUAUAUCUCCUUUCUUUUUUUUUAUUUUUCUAGACUGCUCUUUUAGCUUCUUCAUUUUGAUUUAAAUGGUGGGUUCUGGUGAUUUUGCGGGAGACCGAUCUUCUCUGAUGGUGAACCUUGAAAAUUCGAUCGAAGAAUAGAGUGAGGUUGGGUCUGACACUCUUAGCUUCAUACUAAACUCGAACGACAUGAGUCAGAUAUGAAUUUGGUAUAGAGUACCACCGAAGUUUGACUUAGAGCUCCCUAGGGUUGGUGAUCGGAUGAAUGAUCCACCUCCUAGUCGACUCGACGUGUAUGAAGAAGCGAUCAGAGCAGGCUUGAGAUUCCCUCUUCCCCCUCUUAUCCUUGACAUCUUCAGCUCCUAUGGCCUUUCCCUCUAUGCGGUUGUCCUGAAUUUCUUUAGAUUUAUAGUGGAUUUUUUAGUCAUCUAUGUUUUGGCCAAUGUUCAGCCAUCUAUCUCUCUUUUUUGUUCUUUCUUCACCAUCAAGAAGCACUCUUAUACUAAGAACUAGUGGUACAUCUCUUUCUAGAGGGAGACUGUCCUCUAAUGAAGGG